rnacentral:ncRNA from 1 species
UCCGAAGUUUCCCUCAGGAUAGCUGGCGCUCUCGCUCUUUCCCGACGCACGCAGUUUUAUCCAGUAAAGCGAAUGAUUAGAGGUCUUGGGGCCGAAACGAUCUCAACCUAUUCUCAAACUUUAAAUGGGUAAGAAGCCCGGCUCGCUGGCGUGGAGCCGGGCGUGGAAUGCGAGUGCCUAGUGGGCCACUUUUGGUAAGCAGAACGGGCGCUCCGGGAUGAACCGAACGCUGGGUUAAGGCGCCCCAUGCCGACGCUCAUCAGACCCCAUUUUGUAGAUCAGGCUGGCCUCGAACUCAGAAAUCUGCCUGCCUCUGCCUCCUGAGUGCUGGGAUUAAAGGA